rnacentral:lncRNA from 1 species
ACGCUUUUUUCCAGCUUUUGGAGAACCACUGAUACAGAGUGAGGUAAUAUGGGCUCUGGUCCAUUAGGCUCCUUUGAAUGUGAUGCCAUCUGAAUCACAGCACCUCCUUCUGUCAGGGGAUGAUGGAAGGCAUCAGAUGGUUGCUGUGACCCUGGGGGAAAAGUCUGCCUGGCUGAUGCACUGGGCUUAUUAGAGGGACCAGUGGGGCACUGUGGUCUGAAGACAUCUUAGGAAUUUUUAGUGCCUGAAAUUGAGUAGUGGUUUCAUGUACACUCUGAAUGGCAUGGAUGAUUCCUUUAAAACUCUGUGAGGGUUGUGAGGACAUUGCAUAUGAUCUUUCUAGGGUAAUUUUUUUCUAAUUACUCAUCUGAAUAGGUGUCUUUUUCUAAUUUUUUUUCCCUUACUUUGAACAGAGGGCUUUGGGGUUAGCUGUAGUCUUGCACAAUGCCUAUGGCAGUGCAUACAACAGGCUCUCAACACAUUUUCAUUUUAAUUGAUGGAGCCUGCCUGGAAAUCUGAGAUCCUAUGUUUAUGUUCCUGUGACAUGGUUUUCAAAGUUUUGCUGCUUAGAAUCCUGGUUGUGUUCCCUCCCACAUGGAUGGUCCAGGAGUCUGCCUUUCUCCUCCUGGCUAUAAGAUGAAAGGGAUCACAUCCUCCAGUCCUGAACAACACAAACUAGAUGAACGGUUUUUAUAAAAUCUUAAAAGAACCAUGUCACACAAUUCCCCUCUCUCACUUUGCCUCUCCUUUUCCAAAAAUCCAAUCUCUAAUGUCCCUUUGGCAGUGCAAUUUAUCUGCCUUUGUCACUCCUUUGCAAUCAGAGAUGAGUGUAGGUGAAAGUUGAAUGUUAGCAGAAGAAACAACACAAAUACCCUAGGGUCUAUUUUUUUAGGUCGACAUUUUAUUUUUUAAGAUGGUAAAGAAUUGUCUCAUAAAUUGUGUGUGUGUAUAAGUAAGAAAGAGAAAGACAGAGACAAAGAGAGUAUGAAUUAGAGAGAGAGACAGAAGUCUAGGACAUCUUAGCUAAAGAAAAAGAGAAUGAUGACAUUUAUUUAAAUUAUCAUGGUUUUAGAACUCCUGAGAAAAUGCUAGUUUUAACUUUUCUAAAUAAUAGAAAUGAUAUUAAUAAUAGCUUAAUUCUCUAUUUUCCUUUUAAUACCUGGCAGAUUGCUUUUUUGUUUAGCCACAGUAAACAACCCUAACUUGGUUUUUUGUUUUUUGUUUUUUUUGUUUUUUUUUUUUUUUUGCUUUUUGCUUUUUGCUUUUUAGGGCCACACCCACAGCAUAUGGAGGUUCCCAGGCUAGGGUUUGAAUCAGAGCUGUAGCUGCUGGCAUUACACCACAGCGUCUGUGACCUACACCACAGCCUGCGGCAAUGCCGGAUCCUCAACCCACUGAACAAGGCCAGGGAUCAAACCUGCGUCCUCACGGAUGCUGAUCAAAUUCGUUAACCACUGAGCCACACUAGGAACUCCAGCUCUUUGGAGACGAGGGAUAACUAACUGGUGAACUAUUUCUCUUGCUGACAAAACAGCAACAAUUAUUUAUAAUUUCUAUCACUGGUAUUGCUAAAUCUGGCUGAAAUCAUCCUGAGGUGAGAACAGUAUUGUUAUUUUGUUGGAGUUUUUAGGAAAAUUAGAGUUACUGACCAAAAAACCUGGCAAAGCCUUUGUUAAUCAAAUACCUCAAAACUUUUUACACAGUAGGCUAGCUUCUUGAUUUUGCUGGACUUUACUGUGGAUGCACAGAUGUCACUGUCAUCCUCAGUCCUAGAAUGUCCUUGAAAUACAUGGUCUAUUUAUAAACCCAGGAGAAUAUCUGUAGGAUUUCUACUGUGAACUACUGAAGGGGGAGGGAAAAAAAGGCAAACACAGCUUUGGCCCGCAAUUCACAUGUGAAAUCUUUAAGGCAAAGACAAGGAUCGAGUCAUUUUCGGCAUAUAUAGAAAUAGAUUUUACUCCUUGGGGGUAAUGUCAGUAUAAAUGGAAAACAAUUUAGUUGAAACUAGACAAUAAAUUCAUUCCGUUCAGUGGAAAUUAGGUACCAAAAUACACCAUCCCAUAUAGAAAUCAGAUACUGCGCACUGCUCCAAGCAUAUGACUUCUCUAUGGAAAAUAAAAGAGAUUUUCGUGCAAUUAAAAACAGUGGUAUUUAUUGGUCCUGCAAGAACGUGAUAGGAAGUGUACAGAUUCUGAAGCUCCUUUUUUCUUCAUGGCUUCUGGAUAUGACAGUAGAGUGUUAAUAUUUCUUUUGAUCCUUUUUCAAUGGAGAGGAUACUUACUUCCUUCUACCUGAAAGUAGGGUGUUGAGCAAUACUUAGAAGAGGACAACUGAAAUAACUUUAAAGGCAUGAUGCCCAGAAAGCUUACCACAUGGGUUUUCAACACCUGUGCUCUUUAAUGCCCAAGGGAGGUUCUUCUAAAAUACUUGAGUUACUCUCACACUAAUUAAGCUAAACACAAUUGAGUUUAUCUUAGGAGAUACGGUUGCAUAUAAAGGACAGGUGAGAUGAGUGUUUAUUAGCAGAUAUUUGUUUGAGUUUUUUAACAAAUAUGAUUACCCUUGAUACUUACAAUAGUAUGUUCAGUUGAAGACACUAAGUCUCAGGAUCUAAGUUUCCACCUGGAAUCAAAACUUGGGAGUGUUCUUUCCACUAUACGCAGAACAUGACAAAGUGUUGUCUGAAGUGUAUUCUCAGAUAGAGGCAUAAGAGAGAAACACAUAAUGUGUAGGUAUGCCUUGUCUACCUUUUUUGCCAGCUUUGUUUGUGUUGUAGGCCUUUGUUAUACAAAAAUCUGCACCCGGAGAGAAAGAGGACUUUUGAGGGUGAUGGUGGGGCAGAAAAGAAAAAACAAGGAGCCCAGCAUGCUUUCAUUGACUCAGGAAAGGGCACAGCACUGUUGCUGAGGGAGAGACUAAUUGAGUUUGAGAGCGUGCAGGAAUCAGGGUGGGGACGCGGAGAAGAGCCCAAAGAAAGCUUUGGCGAGUUUGCAGAGAGAGUUGCAGAGUCUGGUGGGCGGAGAGGGAUGGACCUGCCAAGUGCUUCAGAUUCUGAAAAUGCAGAAAAGGGCGUUUUAGAGACUGGUGCAUUAGAUCCCAUUUUAGCUUUUAAAUGUUUGUCGAGAGACUUGACCAAACAUCUCAAUUGCUGACUGCAUUUUGGAUUGGAGUUUUCCUCCAAGCGCACAUUGCCAGGCCUGGCCCUUGGGGAGCUGGAACCCAUGUGGGUUACAUUGUGUCUUUAAAACUCGAUACACACACUCCUAACCUUUGUACAUAUAUGUAUAUAGUUAUCUGUAUGUAAAUAUAUGUUAUGUCUUUAUAUGUACACAUGGAAAAUACAAGUGUAUAUGUAUAUAUUUAUGUGAUUUAUACAGAUAUUUGUUUUACACAAAUAAACACCACCGACUUCUCACAGUGUUGGCAGUGUCGUAUUGUUUAGAACAGGCUUUUCAAACCACUUUACAUUUUUCUGAAUUUGGAGGGGAGAUGGUGCCAACAAGUGGAACCCCUGAAAGGAGAUGGGGUUAUGUCCUGACAGGGGAACGCCUCAGUGGAAUCUGGGAUGCCUGCUGCUGCUGUUUGGACUUCCUUCCUUGCCGUAUAUUGAGGAAAUGUAGAGGAGAAAGAUUUGGAAGAGAUAAAGCAUUAAGAGUAGCAAUCAGCUUGGGUGUGUCUUCAGAAGAAAACCGAGAAUCUAAGAAUACAUCAGAGUCUGUUGGUGGGCAGCCUUCAUGUACUAGAACACGCCUGAUCUGAACAAUGAAAACAUUUGCAUUUUCAACAUGGUACCCCUUUGGGGAGUUAUUUGGCUUUCCACGGUGUAUUGAUUGCAAUACCCAGAAUUCUAGAUGCGUUCAGAUGGGUUGCUAAGGGUUAACUCCUGGCAGCAUGGUGUGUUAUGUUAAUGAUGUAGUUAGAAACUGAAGAUUAGUAAACUGUAGCAAUAAAAUAAGCAGGGUCAUUCGACCCAUUAGGACGAACUGCGAAGGAAUAUAGCUGGUUUUAAUUUGUUGAGGGAAUCUCUUAAAGGUUGAUGCUGUGUGGGCUGCUUUUUUCAAUAGGUUCAUAUAGUUUUUCUAGCUAUGCUGUUCCAGAUUUAAGCUUUACAGAAAAGCAGCUUUUGUCCCUAUGUUAAGAUAAGCAGAGUCCACAGAGAAAAUUCAGGUUGCCUCUGUGCAGUGUAGAGAGUUCCUCUUCUUUCUUUCUUUCUUUUGGUCUUUUUAGGGCCGCACCUGCUGCAUAUGGAGGUUCCCAGGCUAGGGGUCAAUUUGGAGCUGUAGCUGCCAGCCUACACCAUAGCCACAGCAACAGGGGAUCCGAGCCACGUGUGCAACCUACACCACAGCUCACAGCAACGCCAGAUCCUUAACCCCCUGGGUGAGGCCAGGGAUCGAACCCGUGUCAUCAUGGAUACUAGUCAGGUUUGUUACCGCUGAGCCACAACAGGAACUCCUAGAGAGAUCAGACUCUUGAGUCAUGACAGUACAGUCAGUGCUAUUACAGGGAUCAGCAAGUUUUCUGGGGUAUUGAUCUCCUUUGUGGGUAAUCAUUCUAAAAUUUUCAUGAUUAAUUCUUGAAAUUCUUGGCUCAAACUCCAGUUAGGAGCUUUCAGCAUGAGAGUUCUUAAAGGACCACAAGAACUUAUUCUAUGAAUCAUCCAUCAAUUGUGAGGGUUUUUAAAGUGACCCUUUGGCAUCUGGGGGCCUCAUUUUUACCUGGGCUGCAUUUCUGGGGUAGUUAUGAGGACUUCCGUUGGCUCUUGAAUACCAGGAAGACCUACUCUGUGAGUUAGUACCCACAGUGUGGUUGUAGGGCACCCCUUUAACUUGUGGAUUGUGUUCUCCAGAAUCUGAUUGGUUUUCAGAAGAGUUAAACCCACCGUCUAUUCAGAGGUAAUGGUGUGUUUCAGACUUUGGGACUUCGGCAGCACAACUCAAAACAGAGGAAUUAAGAGUAAAUCAAGCAACAUUAAAGAGUCUAAUAGGAGUGGGGUUUAGAGCACAUCCGUGGAAAAGCUCAAUAGCAAAUUAGGGUUCCCUUAACAAUUCCGAGGUUCUGGCAGGAGAAAUCCAGUGUCUGGCCAAACUCAGGAUCAGGUGGUCGCAAACAAGUCCAUGGUGAAUAAUUCUUUCGCUGGCAGUCUCUUUUUUUUCUGGUUAUGAUUGUUAAGUAGCUCUCUAAAUAUUCUCUUUGUAUUGAGUCAAGGACUUGAGUCGGAACAAGCUCGAAUCCUGUGUAGUUUACAUCCCAGGGUCUGUGUUUAUUUUUCAUCAAGCAUUAAAAUGUAUCAUGUAUUAACAGUGUUAAUAUAGUUCUUUAUAAGAAGUCUUGUACAUGGGAGUUCCCAUCGUGGCACAGUGGUUGACAAAUCUGACUAGGAACCAUGAGGUUGUGGGUUCAAUCCCUGGACUUGCUCAGUGGGUUAAGGAUCCGGCAUUGCCAUGAGCUGUGGUAUAGGUUGCAGACGUGGCUCGGAUCCCACAUUGCUGUGGCUGUACAGCUCUGAUUAGACUUCUAGUGUGGGAAUCUCCACAUGCCGUGGGAAGUGGCCCUAGGAAAGACAAAAGAUUAAAAAAAAAAAAAAAAAA